GUGCUGACUUCAGUAGCACAUAGACUAAAAUUGGAAUGAUACAGGGAGGAUCAGCAUGGCCCCUGGGCAAGGAUGACACAAAUGUGUGAAGCAUUAAAAUAAUAAUAUUUU
ensembl:snRNA U6 U6 spliceosomal RNA